UGUCUUUGCAGAGUUAUUUCUGCGGGAGA
rnacentral:piRNA from 1 species